ACCCAUUUAAUGCGCCUUAAUCUUGAGCUAGCAAAAAAUUUCUCAUUUUUUACGUUGACUUUUUAUACUUAAUUAUUGAAACUUCAUUGCCACGACUUUUAUUUUAAUGAUUGUUCACCUGAUACAUUGUACAAUUAUUGACCAUUAAAAGGAUAUUGAUUCGUUUCAUGAUUGAUUUGCCCUUCCAAAUAUUGGGAACACGAUAUAAUCUAUUGCCGCAGGGUGAACCUGAAUUUGGAUGAGAAUCUGGUUCCAUCUUGUCCUUCUUCCAGUGCUUCUUCUAGUCAUUCUUUUUUCUGAAACUUUUACUUGCUGGGGUUUUCCACUCUUCUCUGUUUACAUGAGCAUAUUGCAAGUUAUUCAUUCCAGCCAUUGACGCUCAAUAUUAGUAUCAUCAUCAUCAUCAGCAUCAUCAUCAUGCUCAUCAAUAUCAAAAUCAUGUUUUUCUUCUCAAAUAAUAUUACGAGUUCUUCUUCUUUUUUCCAUCAAAGUCAAUGAAACUAACCUUUUUCAAACAACAAUUCAGUAAACAACAACAACAACCGCACAAACUACUCUAUCAACUUUUCAUAGUAAAUGUUGAAAUAAUUCAAUUCAACAUUACCUUGUGUAUUUAUUAAUACUUUUUGUUUAUUAGUGUAACUUGCAUAUUAAACAAAAUUGGUUAAUUUUCA